rnacentral:snRNA from 1 species
AGCUUUGUGCAGUGGCAGUAUCGUAGCCAAUGAGGUUUAUCCAAGGGGAGAUUAUUGCCAGCUGAAAACUUUUCAACUUUUCAAUUUCAAAACUUUUCAAAACCCUGCCAUGACGACUUGAAAUAUAGUCGGCAUUGCCAAUUUUUGACAGUCCCUAUGGGA